UGGCCGUAAUGCUCUUAAAGUAGCAGCAACAGAACGAUUAUUUUGAUAAAAAAUUUGCACGAUUUGCAAUCGUUGCUCAAGUGUGUAGCGUUCCAUGAUGAAAUGUAUACUAAUGAAGUUUACAAAUGACCGAAAAAGAAAAAAUAUUGCGUCGUUCGCCCUCCCUAUCGGAAAAAAGUUGAAGCGCACCUAUUGAAUAACCCUAUAUAAGCAAACCAUUCCCACUACGCCAACAUACAAUAAAGCUGUGAAUCAGCUCGACUCUGAGCUACCCGAAAUAUUUAAUCGAUUUUACGACACCCAAGCAAGAAGGUACCGAACGGUAAAAAUUUUUUGAUGUUUGUAAAAACAUAAAACUCUUUCAAAACAAGUUUAAAGCUAACCGUGAUCAGCUCUAGGUGUCGUUUUGAGUAGAUGAGGCCAAUUUCAACAAGUCUACUAAGGGCAUAUACAAAUUUUCUCAACAGCAACCAUAUAAAAAAUUUACCGAUCUUAAGAACACAUUUUUUGUGUAUUGUCAACUACAAGACUAAGAUUUCUGAUAUCACUUAUUGCUCCAUAAAUCUCCCAUUUUGAAGUGAUGUACGGUGAUCAAAAACGUGAGUUUAGGAACAAACUGAACUUAGCUUUAAAGAAUGUUCCUAAAUUCAUUAACUGCAAAAAAAAGUUUGAUGAUAAUCGGAACUCGUCAACCAGCGUAACUUUUUCGGAUACUAAUUUUUGUGUAAUCACCUGGCACUCAGUAACUUUGUUGCCCCAAAAUAUAAAAGUUUAACGAUCCCUAGAUCUGUUAGUGCUGUUAGAAAGGGGAAUUCGUUACUGACUUUAAUUAAAAAUAUUGUAUAAAAUCUGCAUGAUGCUUUCAGUGCAUUAACAAAUAGAUAUUUAUCUUCUUCUUCUUUCCCUCUGUUUUCCAAUGUUGCUUUUCAUUUACUUAUUCUCCACCUUUUAUUUUCUUUACUCUAGAUUUUUAGUUUUUAUAGUUUGUAGUUAAGUUUUAAAAUGUUGUGCUUUAACUUGUCAAUGCUUGUACAAUGAAAAUGUUUCACUUUACGCCUUACUGCAACGGUAAAGUAAAUAUGUACAUAAAUGAAUAAAUAAAUACAAAAUAAAUUAAUAAGAAGAAAUAUUCGAAUAAUCAGAGGUAUGAAUAGACAUAUAUAUGUACCAUUCGAAAUUCAGAGAACGUAGGUUCGAAUCUCCGUGAAACACCAAAAUGAAGAAACAGUUUUUCUAAGAGAGGUUGCCCCUCCGCCGGCAAUGGCAAGCCUCCGAGUGUAUUUCUGCCAUAAAAAAGCUCCACAUAAAAAAUAUCUGCCGUUCGAAGUCGGCUUAAACUAAAGUGAACCAAUAAAGAAAUUAUUCACAAAUUUUUAAGAAAUCAUUUGCGUUCGAUAUAUUUCAUUUUUAACUAUUCAAUAUGCAUAAUUGUUGUUUCAAUAUUAACGGUAACUCCGUUUAAUACCCGUUGUUUUUUCAUAACUGAACUGCAAAGGUUAGUUUCGUUCCUAAUAUUUUGUCAUUGUCGUUGCAACUUUUUAUGAGGGAAGAUAUGAAUAAGCAAGCACCGACUGAUUUAAAAGAACUUAUGGCGAAAUAUCAUUCCGAUGGGAAAAGUGUGCGUCAAAUCGCGGAAAUUUCGAAAAAAAAAACCCAAGCCGACAGUAUGUAAUAUAUUGAAAACCAUUAUUUUCUUAGAAAAAGUAGUACUGGAAGACUGUGCAAGAGUAGGAUUCAACGUUUAAUAAACGAGAGCCCGAAAAAAUCUCCACAGUAACCUAUACAGAGCGUACACUCCUAGAAAAAAGCGCCUUCUCUCAAGGAAUGAUGUGAGAAAAAGGUUGAACUAUGUUAAAGAAAACGUUAGUAAGCCGAAUGAUUUUUGGAGCAAUAUUAUUUUCACCGAGGAAUCGAAAUUCAACUUAUCAAACUUGGAUCGGAUGGCCGCAGUUUUGUCUGGCGAAGGGUAGGUACAGCGCUCAAUCCGUCUAAUGCGGUUGGUAAUGUGAAACCUGGAUUCGUUUUGUUUUAUUGAUGGCAAUAAAUUACUAAAAUGGAAAUAUUGAAGGAGCAUAUUCCCAAAACUGUCGAAAAAUUACAGCUACUAGCAACUUUCACCUUCAUGCACUACAAUAACCCGAAGCAUACUGCGCUGAUUGUGAGAGAAUGGUUGCUUUACAAUGUAAAAAAAAUUGUACUAUCCUUCUGAGAGCCCAGAUCUCAAUCCCAUUGAGCAAACGCCAAAUUAGUGGUAAAAAGUCCCUAAAAUCAGCCAUUGAAGAGGUAUGCGAAAAUAUUCCAAGAGAUGGCUCUUAGUAGAGGCCAUGCAACGACGUCUAUAAGCAGUAAUUAGUGCAAAGAGAUACUGCACAAAAUAUUAAUUCACUACAACAACAUCAACUCGUCAAUUUUCCUUUAUUUCCAUAUUUUCAUUACUGUCCACUUUAUGCUUGAGUUGUAAAAUUAGGUUAUUGCUUUGUUUACUGAACAACUUUCGAAUAAUUUAAAUAUUAUAAUAUUUUCGUGUUUUUAUAAUAAAAGAUUGAAUUUAAAACUUUA